rnacentral:ncRNA from 1 species
UAAAUUUUAUUAUGUUAUUUUUAGGGGUUAAUUUUUUAAAGAACUUCCUGGUUCAUUUUUAUUAUAAAAUUUUAAAUUAUAUGUAAAUUUUAGUGGUAAUUAAUUUAAUUUUUAAAGAAAAUUAAAAUUUUUAAAGUCGCAGUAAUAAGUUUUAUUUAUUUAAGAAAUUAAGAAAUAGUAAAUAUUUUUAGUAUAGACUAAAUUUGUGCCAGCAGUUGCGGUUAGACAGAUUAUGCAAUAAUAAAAAGUUCGAUGAUAGUAAAAAUUUAUAGUUUGAAUUUUAAAAUAAAAUUUAUUAAGUGAAAUUUUAAAUUUUUAUUAAUUUAUAUGUAUAUUUUAAUCUGAAAAAUUUUUUUAUAAGACUAGGAUUAGAUACCCUAUUAUGAAAAAUGUAAAUGUAAGUAUCAAGUUAGUAUUAGUUAUGUUCUUGAAAAUUAAAGGAGUUGGCGGUAUUUUAGUCUAUUCAGAGGAACCUGUCCUGUAAUUGAUGAUCCACGAUUUUAUUUACUUAUUCUUUAGGUUUGCAUAUCGCCGUAGGUUGAAUAUUUUCAUAGAAUAAAAAUGUUCAAGAUUUUUUAAGAAAAUAAAUCAGGUCAAGAUGUAGUUUAUGGAUAAGAAGAGAUGGGUUACAAUAAGUUUAUUUAAACGGAAAAAUUUUUGUAAUAGAAUUUUGAAGGUGGAUUUGAGGGUAAUUUUAUUUAAAUUUUUAAAAUGAUUUUAGCUCUAAAAUAUGCACAUAUCGCCCGUCACUUUCACUCUAAAGUGGAAUAAGUCGUAACAUAGUGGGUGUACUGGAAAGUGUCCCUAGUAAGU